rnacentral:rRNA from 1 species
AAACCAGCACCUCAAGUGGUCAGGAUGAUUAUUGGGCCUAAAGCAUCCGUAGCCGGCUCUGUAAGUUUUCGGUUAAAUCUGUACGCUCAACGUACAGGCUGCCGGUAAUACUGCAGAGCUAGGGAGUGGGAGAGGUAGACGGUACUCGGGAGGAAGUGGUAAAAUGCUUUGAUCUCUCGAUGACCACCUGUGGCGAAGGCGGUCUACCAGAACACGUCCGACGGUGAGGGAUGAAAGCUGGGGGAGCAAACCGGAUUAGAAACCCGAGUAGUCC